GAUAAAGAAGGGAAUUAAACCAAUGUGAGUAGGUCUACAGCCUACCGCCUAUCACUCGGCCACUUUACC
rnacentral:tRNA from 1 species